GAAGUAAAAGUCGUAACAAGGUUUCCGUAGGUGAACCUGCGGAAGGAUCAUUACCUAGAGUUGUAGGCUUUGCCUGCCAUCUCUUACCCAUGUCUUUUGAGUACCUUCGUUUCCUCGGCGGGUCCGCCCGCCGAUUGGACAACAUUCAAACCCUUUGUAAUUGAAAUCAGCGUCUGAAAAACUUUAAUAGUUACAACUUUCAACAACGGAUCUCUUGGUUCUGGCAUCGAUGAAGAACGCAGCGAAAUGCGAUAAGUAGUGUGAAUUGCAGAAUUCAGUGAAUCAUCGAAUCUUUGAACGCACAUUGCGCCCCUUGGUAUUCCAUGGGGCAUGCCUGUUCGAGCGUCAUUUGUACCUUCAAGCUUUGCUUGGUGUUGGGUGUUUGUCUCGCCUCUGCGCGCAGACUCGCCUCAAAACAAUUGGCAGCCGGCGUAUUGAUUUCGGAGCGCAGUACAUCUCGCGCUUUGCACUCAUAACGACGACGAUCCAAAAGUACAUUUUUUACACUCUUGACCUCGGAUCAGGUAGGGAUACCCGCUGAACUUAAGCAU
rnacentral:rRNA from 1 species